AGCGAACGCUGGCGGCAGGCCUAACACAUGCAAGUCGAACGAACUCUUCGGAGUUAGUGGCGGACGGGUGAGUAACACGUGGGAACGUGCCUUUAGGUUCGGAAUAACUCAGGGAAACUUGUGCUAAUACCGAAUGUGCCCUUCGGGGGAAAGAUUUAUCGCCUUUAGAGCGGCCCGCGUCUGAUUAGCUAGUUGGUGAGGUAAAGGCUCACCAAGGCGACGAUCAGUAGCUGGUCUGAGAGGAUGAUCAGCCACAUUGGGACUGAGACACGGCCCAAACUCCUACGGGAGGCAGCAGUGGGAAUCUUGCGCAAUGGGCGAAAGCCUGACGCAGCCAUGCCGCGUGAAUGAUGAAGGUCUUAGGAUUGUAAAAUUCUUUCACCGGGGACGAUAAUGACGGUACCCGGAGAAGAAGCCCCGGCUAACUUCGUG
rnacentral:rRNA from 1 species